rnacentral:rRNA from 1 species
UGGGGAAUUUUGGACAAUGGGCGAAAGCCUGAUCCAGCAAUGCCGCGUGUGUGAAGAAGGCCUUCGGGUUGUAAAGCACUUUUGUCCGGAAAGAAAUCCUUGGCUCUAAUACAGUCGGGGGAUGACGGUACCGGAAGAAUAAGCACCGGCUAACUACGUGCCAGCAGCCGCGGUAAUACGUAGGGUGCAAGCGUUAAUCGGAAUUACUGGGCGUAAAGCGUGCGCAGGCGGUUUGCUAAGACCGAUGUGAAAUCCCCGGGCUCAACCUGGGAACUGCAUUGGUGACUGGCAGGCUAGAGUAUGGCAGAGGGGGGUAGAAUUCCACGUGCAGCAGUGAAAUGCGUAGAGAUGUGGAGGAAUACCGAUGGCGAAGGCAGCCCCCUGGGCCAAUACUGACGCUCAUGCACGAAAGCGUGGGGAGCAAACAGGAUUAGAUACCCUGGUAGUCCACGCCCUAAACGAUGUCAACUAGUUGUUGGGGAUUCAUUUCCUUAGUAACGUAGCUAACGCGUGAAGUUGACCGCCUGGGGGAGUACGGUCGCAAGAUUAAAACUCAAAGGAAUUGACGGGGUCAUAGCUGUUUCCU